GGAGGAACCGGCACCGGGACCGGGACCGAACGGGGCACAGGGGACAGAGCAAGGGACAGGCACGGCAGUUCCGGGCUACGGGCGCGCUGGCACAGAGCCCAGGGACCAGGCCAGCACAAGGGACAGGCCCCGCUGAGGCUCCGGGGGCGGCCGCGCUCCAGGCGCCGCGCGGACAGGAGCCGCCGCAGGGACGACGUGGAGCUCAGGUCCCCGCAGCUCUGCAGGGUGGCAGCUUGUUCUUCCCCACGGAGCCAGCCCGGAGCAGCGGAGGGGAGUCACAGUGGGAACGGUGGAGCAGGCAGGCCUCGGAGCACAGCCCUGGGGGGUGAGUGCCG